AUAUAGCCCCGAUUGUAGUGAAAAUCCUUUUAUUUUUUGCAAAAAAUAAAAGAUUGUAACGGAAAGCGGGUAGAGUU
rnacentral:sRNA from 1 species